GGUGGAGAGGACCGCCGCCGCCAGCCGUGGCUGGCCUCGGGCGCCACCAUGCCAUGCGAGAGCUGUGGUCUCAGGCACAGCCGCCACGCGUACGCGGCCGUGGCGCGGGUAGCCAUGGGCUCCCGCCACUGCUCUGCCGGAGGUCUCCGUGGAGGAGCAGCCAAGGCGCAUGGACGGGGGCACCGCUAGCGAUGUGAUGAAAAGCAGCAGCAAUUGCCGCUCGAUCCAGUGCAAGAAAUCACUCCGGAAGAUGAAAUAGAGAUCUUUGAUUGAUGGCAAGAGCACGCGGGCAGGCUGCAGACGCCCUUCGUCGCCUUUGCGCCGGAUGACCAGGCCCCCGCGAGUUCUUGUCGUCGCUGUGCAUCCUCGCCGGCCUCAUUUUUCUCGGUAGAGACAACGUGGCUGAUAACGUGUGAAGAAUCGAUUGUAAAGGAACAAGAGAAUCGAACAAAUGAUUGAAUCGGUUGCCUUUA